UCUUCUAUAUAAAUUUUCAAAUUGUUUAAACACUGACCCAGCUGCUUGAUUUGUCUCUGUUAUAAUAUACUGAAUCUUCUUUGAUUUUCACUGUUUGAUUGGGGUAAAAAGUUUAGAAUUUAGAAUGAGUGAUGGGUGAUUUGUUUUUUCAGCAAUGGAAUGAUAUAGUUCUCAAGUUGUUUGUAAUAAUGACUCAAAGAAGAAGUCUUUUUGUUACAACAACAAAAGAAAAUUCAGGAUUUCUUAUGUAAAAUUACAACAAAAAUGUAAAGGUGUUAGUUAAUGUCGAUAGUGAAAUGGAAUGAUUGAAUUUACAUGGUCCACUUUGAAUAUCUCUAAUCAUUUCUGUGGUUUCAAUUUCUUUCAUAUCCAAAUCAUCGAUCACUUCAUAACAGCUUGAUGAAGAGUAUUUAUGUCGUUGAUACAGUUUUUACCCAAAUGGGAAAGAUAAAAACUCUUUUCAUAUUGCUGUGUAACCUU
rnacentral:sRNA from 1 species